rnacentral:rRNA from 1 species
GAAAGUAAUGAAGGGCGUACGGUGGAUGCCUAGGCUCUUACAGGCGAUGAAGGACGUGAUAAGCUGCGAAAAGCCGCGGUGAGGCGCAAAUGGCCCUUGACCCGCGGAUCUCCGAAUGGGACAACCCAAUAUCUUGAAGAGAUAUUAUCCCGCCGAUGCGGGAGGCGAACGCGGGGAACUGAAACAUCUUAGUACCCGCAGGAAAAGAAAAUAAAGAAUGAUUCCCCCAGUAGUGGCGAGCGACCGGGGAACAGCCCAAACCGACGUUGUCUCGGCAUCGUCGGGGUUGUAGGACCGCGCCAUCGCAAGAAAGGCCGUGAGUGGAAGCGACUGGAAAGCCGCGCCAUAGAGGGUGACAGCCCCUUACACGAAGCAGCCAGAAGCGUAGCGGACUCCUGAGUAGCGCGGGACACGAGUAAUCCUGUGUGAAUCCGCCGGGCCCAUCCGGCAAGGCUAAAUACUCGUAAGAGACCGAUAGUGAACCAGUACCGUGAGGGAAAGGUGAAAAGUACCCCUUGCAGGGGAGUGAAAGAGUUCCUGAAACCGUACGCCUACAAGCGGUCGGAGCAUCUUGAAUGAUGUGACGGCGUGCCUUUUGCAUAAUGAACCUACGAGUUGCCGUCACCAGCGAGGUUAAGUGCGACGACGCACCGAGCCGCAGCGGAAGCGAGUCUUAAAAGGGCGCAAUAGUUGGUGGAGGCAGACGCGAAACCGAGUGAUCUACACUUGUCCAGGAUGAAGUCCCGGUAACACGGGAUGGAGGUCCGCACCAAUAAGCGUUGAAAAGCUUCUGGAUGAGGUGAGUGUAGGAGUGAAAGGCCAAUCAAACUCGGAGAUAGCUCGUACUCCCCGAAAGGCAUUUAGGUGCCGCCUGUGGCGUUCCCGACGUGAGGUAGAGCGACUGAUAGGAUGCGAGGGCUUCACCGCCUAUCAAGUCCUGACAAACUCCGAAUGCACGUCGGCCAAGCCAUGGAGUAAGGGCAUGGGUGCUAAGGUCCGUGCCCGAGAGGAGAAGAAUCCAGACCACCGGCUAAGGUCCCGAAAUACUGGUUAAGUUAGACUAACGCAGUCCGGCCCCCAAGACAGCUAGGAUGUUGGCUUGGAAGCAGCCAUUCAUUCAAAGAGUGCGUAACAGCUCACUAGUCGAGGAGCUGGGCGUGGAUAAUAAUCGGGUAUGAAACCAGUUACCGAAGCCGUGGGAUGCUUAAGCAUCGGUAGGGGAGCAUUGCAUGCGGCUUAGAAGGCGGGGCGCGAGCCCCUCUGGAGCGCAUGGAAACGCAAAUGUAGGUAUAAGUAACGACAAGGGGGGUGGGAUGCCCCCCCGCCGAAAGACCAAGGUUUCCUGAACAACGCUAAUCGGUUCAGGGUCAGUCGGGUCCUAAGCAUAAGCCGUAUGGCGAGGGCGAUGGACGAAACGGUUAAUAUUCCGUUACUGUCUUGGUGUGUGACGCGGCGACGGAGUAGUGACACGGCCGCCUCCUGACGGAAAAGGGGGUUGAAGCGCAAAGGUGUCGAGGAAGGCAGGCAAAUCCACCUUCCGAGCCGAAGCGCGAAAGUACGCCGGGCCCUUUGGGGCAAGGCGAUAGUGCCGGUAAUCAGACUUCCAAGAAAACCCGCUAAACUUCAGCACCAAGUCACCCGUACUCCAAACGGACACACGUGGUCGGGUAGAAUAUACUAAGGCGCUUGGGAGAUUCACGGUUAAGGAACUAGGCAAAUUGACCCCGUACCUUCGGAAUAAGGGGUCCUCGCUUUUGCGAGGCGCAGAGAAUAGGUCCAGGCAACUGUUUAACAAAAACACAGGGCUGUGCAAAUUUGAAAGAAGAAGUAUACAGCCUGACACCUGCCCGGUGCCGGAAGGUUAAGAGGAGAGCUCAUCAGCGAUGAGAAGGCUUGAAUUGAAGCCCCGGUAAACGGCGGCCGUAACUAUAACGGUCCUAAGGUAGCGAAAUUCCUUGUCGGGUAAGUUC